rnacentral:rRNA from 1 species
UACAGAGGUCCCAAGCGUUGUUCGGAUUCAUUGGGCGUAAAGGGUGCGUAGGCGGCGCGGUAAGUCGGGUGUGAAAUCUCGGAGCUUAACUCCGAAACUGCAUUCGAUACUGCCGUGCUUGAGGACUGGAGAGGAGACUGGAAUUUACGGUGUAGCGGUGAAAUGCGUAGAGAUCGGGAGGAAGGCCGGUGGCGAAGGCGGCGCUCUGGAACAUUUCUGACGCUGAGGCUCGAAAGCGUGGGGAGCAAACAGG